rnacentral:rRNA from 1 species
ACAAGCGGUGGAGUAUGUGGUUUAAUUCGAUGCAACGCGAAGAACCUUACCUGGUCUUGACAUCCCGGAGACCCUUAGGAAACUAGGGGGUGCUUCCAUCUGGAAGAAUCUGGAGACAGGUGCUGCAUGGCUGUCGUCAGCUCGUGUCGUGAGAUGUUGGGUUAAGUCCCGCAACGAGCGCAACCCUUGCCUUUAGUUGCCAGCAGUUCGGCUGGGCACUCUAAAGGGACUGCCGGUGUUAAACCGGAGGAAGGUGGGGAUGACGUCAAGUCCUCAUGGCCUUUAUGACCAGGGCUACACACGUACUACAAUGGCCGAUACAAAGGGCAGCGACACUGCGAGGUGAAGCCAAUCCCGUAAAAUCGGUCUCAGUCCGGAUUGGAGUCUGCAACUCGACUCCAUGAAGUUGGAAUCGCUAGUAAUCGUGGAUCAGCAUGCCACGGUGAAUACGUUCCUCGGGCCUU